rnacentral:rRNA from 1 species
CCGUGAGACAGGUGCUGCAUGGCUGUCGUCAGCUCGUGUUGUGAAAUGUUGGGUUAAGUCCCGCAACGAGCGCAACCCUUAUCCUUUGUUGCCAGCGGUCCGGCCGGGAACUCAAAGGAGACUGCCAGUGAUAAACUGGAGGAAGGUGGGGAUGACGUCAAGUCAUCAUGGCCCUUACGACCAGGGCUACACACGUGCUACAAUGGCGCAUACAAAGAGAAGCGACCUCGCGAGAGCAAGCGGACCUCAUAAAGUGCGUCGUAGUCCGGAUUGGAGUCUGCAACUCGACUCCAUGAAGUCGGAAUCGCUAGUAAUCGUGGAUCAGAAUGCCACGGUGAAUACGUUCCCGGGCCUUGUACACACCGCCCGUCACACCAUGGGAGUGGGUUGCAAAAGAAGUAGGUAGCUUAACCUUCGGGAGGGCGCUUACCACUUUGUGAUUCAUGACUGGGGUGAAGUCGUAACAAGGUAACCGUAGGGGAACCUGCGGUUGGAUCACCUCCUUACCUGAAAGAA